AAAGAAUCUAUGAAAUGUCGAGAUCCUUAUAUGAAUGCUAUGCUAUUAGAUUCAGUGGACAAAGAUGGAUUUGGAAAAGAAAAGAAUACAUAAAAACCUUUAUGGUGUCUUCAUGACUAUUUGUAUCCUACAAAAAAAUCAUGCGCACUUUCCGCAAGUACAGUCAUAUGGGGGUUAUACGAAGACGUAGACCUGCACAGUCAAUUUUCUGUCUAAGCUGCAGUAUCCCUUUGGAACUUCAAAUACCAAAUUUGAAACAAUUUCAGUAACCGCUUCUACGAAACGACUCCGCUUCUUUGCUGAUACCAACACCUAUAUCUGCCGGCUACAUUGUCCAUGCUGCCGAAUGAAUAGUCCAUCGUUGCAGACUGUCAUCAUCCCUAUAGAAAAGGAUUUACAAUGGUUUUAUGGUAUGCUUUGGCUUGUCGCCAUCUGUUUUCACGGCCAUUGACGAUUUGCUAAUGAUUUUUUCCUAAUAACACCCUUCCAGAACCAGAGAAAUUGGCUUUUCCUACUUCUUCGAUGCAUUCGGUAUUUUAAUGAUUUUAGCUACAUUAUAAACUGAUUUCUCUUCAAGUUUCGCAUUUAAAUAUUGUAAUAACUUAUGACAAAAGUUGCCUAUGCAGGCCACGUCGUCGUAGAAGAAUUCGGUAUUCUUAAGAUUUUAACAGAAUUUUUAACGGAUUUUAUUUUUUGGAAAUUGCCAAAUUUGUACCAUAUGGUGGAGGGUAUUAAAAGUCCGGCCCGGCCAAACUUACAGCUUUUUUACUUGUUUAUUUUAGUGACAUUAUUCACCGGAAUUUUUCUAAUUUUGUAUUUGAAAUUCGUAAUGAGUACUACAAUCUGUGACAGAAAAUUGUCUGUGCA